AUUGUUUCGUGGUGUGUGGGAGAGACCAGUCGUAUAUCCUGGUCAAAUGUAUUGCUUUGUGGUAUUUUUCCAUAUCAGGUAGGCCCAGGCCUCCGACCUAUUUCGGUUUGGUAAGGAGCCCAUAUGAUAGCCGUGGAGUUUUGUGUGCCCAGAUGAAGGUCGUGAGUGUCCGUCGGAUUGUGUUGAACCAUGUUUUAGGUAUCGAUAUGGGGAGAACCUGUAGCAAGUAUAAUAUCCUGGGGAGAACAUUCAUUUUGAGAAUGCUCAGCCUACAGAACCAUCCGAAUUGUGGUUUAUUCCAUGUAGUGAGGUCUGAGUGUAUG